rnacentral:rRNA from 1 species
UACGGAGGGAGCUAGCGUUGUUCGGAAUCACUGGGCGUAAAGCGCACGUAGGCGGAUUGUUAAGUCAGGGGUGAAAUCCUGGAGCUCAACUCCAGAACUGCCUUUGAUACUGGCGAUCUUGAGUCCGGGAGAGGUGAGUGGAACUGCGAGUGUAGAGGUGAAAUUCGUAGAUAUUCGCAAGAACACCAGUGGCGAAGGCGGCUCACUGGCCCGGUACUGACGCUGAGGUGCGAAAGCGUGGGGAGCAAACAGG